GCGAGUGAAGCGGUAACAGCUCAAAUUUGAAAGCUAGCUCUUUUAGGGUUCGCAUUGUAAUUUGUAGAAGAUGCUUCGGGUGUGGCCCCGGUCUAAGUUCCUUGGAACAGGACGUCAUAGAGGGUGAGAAUCCCGUAUGUGACUGGGUGCUUUCGCUCAUGUGAAGCUCUUUCGACGAGUCGAGUUGUUUGGGAAUGCAGCUCAAAAUGGGUGGUAAAUUUCAUCUAAAGCUAAAUAUUGGCCAGAGACCGAUAGCGCACAAGUAGAGUGAUCGAAAGAUGAAAAGCACUUUGGAAAGAGAGUUAAACAGUACGUGAAAUUGUUGAAAGGGAAGCGCUUGCAACCAGACUUGCGCGCUGAUGAUCAUCCGGGCUUCUGUCCGGUGCACUCGUCUGCGCUCAGGCCAGCAUCGGUUUCGGUGGUGGGAUAAAGGCCUUGGGAAUGUAGCUCCUCUCGGGGAGUGUUAUAGCCCUCGGUGCAAUGCCGCCUAUCGGGACCGAGGACCGCGCUUCGGCUAGGAUGCUGGCGUAAUGGUUGUAAGCGACCCGUCUUGAAACACGGACCAAGGAGUCUAACAUCUAUGCGAGUGUUUGGGUGUCAAACCCAUACGCGUAAUGAAAGUGAACGGAGGUGAGAACCCUUAAGGGUGCAUCAUCGACCGGUCCUGAUGUCUUCGGAUGGAUCUGAGUAAGAGCAUAGCUGUUGGGACCCGAAAGAUGGUGAACUAUGCGUGAAUAGGGUGAAGCCAGAGGAAACUCUGGUGGAGGCUCGCAGCGGUUCUGACGUGCAAAUCGAUCG
rnacentral:rRNA from 1 species